CAAUAACCAUUUCUAUUUCAAUUCUGCUUUGGCUCUGUAUAGAUGUAUAGUUCCCUGAGUUUCACACAAAAUAGGUCAAUCACUACUUGCUGAAUCAUAUUUGUAUUUUUUCAUUGUUCGCAUACUGGAUGCUUAUCCUUACAAAUUUAUUGUAUAACAGCUUCAAGCAAUAUCAAGGACCAAGGAAAGAAAUUCAAGAAUGAGGCAGUGCCUUGUUCAACUACCAAUUUCAGGGGUUAAGUAUUGGGUUGUUCAAUUAGUGUAUUCAGAUACCACCCUCUCUUUUUUACAUCGGGAUGCUGAUUGUGUUUGACACUUGGUGUUUGUGAGAAUACAAUUUUAGGUCAGUAAUUUCCUCUUUCUAUUUCUGUCUUUCUGGAGGACGUAGGUGACAAAGGAAAAAAACAAAAUCAAAGAAGAGGGCUUUGGCAUUUAAUUUUUUAGCUUCCUCUCCACAAAACACCCUUUCGUAAUUCCCCUUAUUACUUUUGUGGUGUUUCUGACUGGAAUGCAGUGUUGGUUUUUAUUUAUGUUGAAAUGCCUAAUAACAAUUAACUACUAUGAAUUUUUCUCUUUGUUUAUAUAUUGGUUUUUGAUGAUAUUUAGGGGUGGUUUGCUUUUUUUUUUUUAUGUUCAUAUUACUGUAGUUGUACUUUCUGCAUAGUUAGCCAAUAGAUAGGUGCAAUGCAUAUCAAGAAAUUUGUUUUUUUUGCUUAUUGUUGGUUCAUAAUGCAGAAUUUUGGUUUUUACAUUUCUGUGACAUUUGGGUGUUUAGUUGCCAAGAACUAUAACGUUGAUGCAUGUCAAAUUCUGAUGCGUAGACUAAAACCCAGUGUCAAGUCUACAUAGCACACAAGCACACUUCACCGGAUUCUCUGCCUAUAGUGUCUUAUUUGUUUUUUCUUUUACAUGUCUGUUUAUUUAUGAUCUGUAUUAGUUUCUCCUAUCUUUCUGUUUUUUGUUGUUGCAUCUUUCAGUAAAAGAUUGACAUUCUUUUUUGCAUUUCUUUUCUGUUAGGAAUCAGAUUAUGUUUUUAUUUUUUUGUUUCUUUUCCUCUUUUCUCAAGGAAUACUUUUGGUAGAGGAAUUAAAAGCUUCAUGAGGAUCAUGUGCUUGGACUUCAAUAUAGUCUCCUCCAAUUUUUGUUGCUCUUCUUAUUUUGUGUUUUUUCUUGGUGCUGGUAUAACUAAAAACUGUUUGUGCUCAGAUACAGGAGGUAGUAUUCAAACUCCGAAAGAGAGAAGAUUUAAAUUCGUAUAGGAGGGAUAGUGUUCAAGCUAUUUACCAGGUUAUUAUUUCAAAUCCUAUCUCUUUUUGUCAUCACACGUGCUCUUCCAAGUUUUAAAUUGUUUGUUAGGGUUUCUGAAUUUGGGUGUUUGAUUUCCGAAUUUUAAUCUUCUCUAUUUUGGCUAAUUUUGUCUUGGUUUCUCUCUGUCUCUUUCAUUCUUAUGUUUCAUUUUGUCAAGUAAACAUUUUCUCUAUGAUUUUCUUAUGUUUCAUUUCGGAAUUUUAACUAUGUUUAUAUAAGGAUGUUGAUACUUUCUUAUAUUCAUUCAUGUGACAGCAAAGGAAGAUCACAUUUAUUACAGUACAGCAUGAAGAGAAGGCUCAUAAUUUUUGCAUGUAUUUACUCCUAGAGCUCAGGCAUGCAACCAACAAUAUCAGUAGACUGCUUAAAAUUGGAGAAGGUGGAUUUGGGAAUGAAUGUUUAUAAAGGUUCAAUGAAGCCUUGCUGGUGCCAAGGGUGAUCCAAUCACGGUCUCUAUUAGAAUGCUUAACAAUGAUGGCUUACAGGUAUAUGUUUAAGCAUCUUCCUAUUAAUUGAAUUGUUAAACAAUGCCCUCAAGAGUUUUUUUCCUUAUUUUUUUCCAUUAUUAGUUUACGUGCUUCACACAUUUUUGUUGAUUUGUUCUCCUUGAAUAUAUAAGCUCAUAGUUAAACUACUAUAUGAAAUAUUGUUAAUUGAGUUGUGAGUUCUGGCCCUUAUCUCUUGACAUUUCUGUUCAGUCUCUUUCUAUGACAACUUUUUAAUUUUCUUUUAAAGUGAAUUUGAUGCUAUUCAGUGGAACAUUUCUUAUGAUUUUCUUAUUUGAGUAUGUGUAUAUAUUGCAAGAGAGAAUGCCUAGAGUAAGUGAUUUCUCUUAGCAUAUUUGUACAAACCUAUUUUCCAUAGUCAGUUUAGUUUAUCUUGGUUACCAAAACUGCUGUUGGAUACUCACUUUAAAUGUGGCAUGCUUCAACCAAUUUAGAUGUUGCGUGUAUCCCACCACCCGAAAGAUAAAGAAGUGGAGUCCUUAAGGAAGAAGUUUGCUGGAAUUCAAGCUGACAGGAAGGAGAGGGAAGAAGCUGAAGCAGUGAAGGUGGCUGCACAACUCAAGAAAACGGAAGUUUCAGGUUAGAAUUUCCUUACGUUGGCUGGUCCACAAGCUAAGCUCUUGUUUGUGGGCACUUAAACUUGAAAACAAUCCUGUAUCAUUUAUUAGUUAUUGCUAACAUAAAUAUACAUCUAUUCUAUAAUCCAUUUUUGUAACAGACAACAGUGGAAAGAAAAAGCAACUGGCCACAAUAAAUAUAUAUAUAUAUAUAUAUAUUUAUUCUAAUAAUCCAUUAAUGGUUUUCACUUCUGCUACAGCCUAUCUAUUCUCAAGCAGCUUGAGUCCUAAAAUUCUUGAAGGCUCGGUAGGAGAAGGUUUGUCAACACACGAGCAGAUGAAUGAAGUCAGGCACGAGUGA
rnacentral:lncRNA from 1 species